GGAUCUUUGGUUGGAGACCCUUCCCUUGUGGGGUUUUCCCUCUGAGCCUAUGCCUUUAGAGACAGUAAUAAUUUUCGUCGAGCAAUCAUGCAGGACCAAUCAACAAGACAUCAGUCGUGAAGGAAACAUCAUUUCUAGCGUUUCAAUCUUCUCCUACCAUCCCUGGAUUCAUGCAUGAAUGACCAGGAAUCACAACUCAACCUGACCUCCUGGAGAGUGAAUUUGAAAAUUCAGCUGUUCAUCUCCAAAAAGUCUUCAAAAUUCUGGGCUACAGAGAAUGAGUCUCUCCAGUUAAAUUCUUCAGUUUGUCUAUAAUUCAACACAAGGGAGGACUAGGAUUCUGAAUGCAUCUCUUGAAUUCAGUGGCACUCAAGUUUCCCGCAUGAAUCCCAUUCCCCAAAAUGAAACAUUAUAAAAAUAUUACAAUAAAAAUGGGAAAUAUAAAUUAGGGGUUUAGGGAAUGUGUGCAUCUGGUCUCCCUCUGCUCAGGAGAGGAACAUACUUGGAGCUUCUCUCCUAAUCUUACUGUACAGUGAAGGACAUAGAUCCUCUUCUGGAGGAUGAGGCAAAAAUGUGCCAACCUUUUUCCAUUAAGUAUUUUGUCAGACAAAAUGAAAAGCCCUGAGCCAUUCAACAGAGGGACUAUAAGGGAGCAAAUACCCACCUCCUAGCAGGCUGUCAAACAGGCAUUUAUACAGUAUUUUGUAGAGAAAUUCUAAUUUUUUUCUGAGCUGAAUGCAAGUCUUUUAUUAAGACUACUAUGUCACAUACAGAAGUAAUGUGUAGAUGGCCAGUGCAAUUACAUUAUUUUCAAUGACAAGAAUACAAAAAAAAAAGAAAGCACACGUAUAUAGAUGCAUCCAGUUUUACAUUUUCUAAUAUCCACCAUUAAAGGCACCAGAGAUUUAAAACCAGGACUGGAGCUCAGGUGUUUUGGUAGCAGUGAGUUUAAUUUCCUUACCACUUGCAGUAGCUGUCAGGACUGAUAUCAUUUUACAAGUAAUGGUAUUUGUUAGAAUGCUAAAAAUCAUACAUCUGGCACUCAGUUGCAUCAGACUGCAUAGUGCACAUGGAACUCUUUUAAGAUCAAAUCCAGCAUACAUUCAGGAAUGAAAUGGAUCAUAAAGUUAGAACCAACAGAAGACAAAUUUAGUUUUGACUGAUGCAAAUUAGAAAUGUUGUUUAAUUGAUUGUUCC